rnacentral:rRNA from 1 species
GACGAACGCUGGCGGCGUGCCUAAUACAUGCAAGUCGAACGCAGUGGGGACGGGUGAGUAACCCGUGGGUAACCUCCCAUCAGAGGGGAUAACACUUGGAAACAGGUGCUAAACCGAUACUGAUGGAUGAACCCGCGGUGCAUUAGCUAGUUGGUGAGGUAACGGCUCACCAAGGCCACGGUGCAUAGCCGACCGGAGAGCGUGAACGGCAACACUUGUACUGAGACACGACCCAGACUCCGACGGGAGGCAGCAGGAGGGAAUCUUCGGCAAUGGACGAAAGUCGGACCGAGCAACGCCGCGGUAGUGAAGAAGGUUUUCGGCUCGUAAAUCUCUGUUGUUAUAGAAGCGGUAUCUAACCAGAAAGCCACGGCUAACUACGUGCCAGCAGCCGCGGUAAUUC